AGAGCAGCAGGAUAUAUAGCCACUCAGCAGCCAGGAUCGACCGAGGGAGAGGUUUGGUUUUUGCAUUAAAAUCCAGAUAUAAGGUGAGCUGACCUGUUUCUUUAGCUUGUAUUUCUAUGCAAAAUACCCUCCAUUCCCCUUUCAUGUUACUAACAUUUGCACUUUCCCUUUGUAAUUGUCUCUCUUUCUAACUAUUUUUUUUGUAAUGUCCUUUUUUCAUAUGUGUUUUUUUUUCGUUUCUUGUGUUUGAUUCUUUUUGACUUCACUAAUCUUGUAUCAGUUUCUCUCUUUGACAAGGGCAGAGAGGAGUACAGGACAGACAGACAGACAGACAGUGGCCGGCCACACAACAAAGAGAAGAACAUAGCAAGGAUCUGAACACAUUAUUACUUCAGGCAAACGAAAGUCAAAUAUGGCUGUAUAGCACCAGGUCCCACCGGAAGCAUCAAGACAUGUAGCCUAUUAGCAACCAAGGACCACAGAAAAGGUUUGGUUUUCAUAAUAAAAACCAGAAAUGAGGUGAGCUGAAUUGUUUCUUUAGCUUUUAUGUCUAUGCAGAAUACCCCCUUUCCCCUUUUCUUAUAACUAAGAUUUGCACAUUCCCUUUGUAAUUGUCUCUCUUUCUAACAAAUUAUUUUUUAAUGCAUUUUUCAUACGUGUUUUUUUCUUGUAUGUAAUUCUUUUUGACUUUACUAAUCUUUUAUCAGUUUUUCUCUUUGACAAGGACAGAAAGGAGUAUUUUACAGACAGACAAACAAUGGCCGGCUGCACAACAAAGAGGAGGACAUAAGAAGGAUCUGAACACAUAUUUCAGGCAAACAAAAGUCAAAUGUGGGAUAGAUAAGCAAGAAUCAGUCCCUCUGUGUAGAUCGACUCAAUGACCUUUCAACCAAAGCACCAAAAGUAAGCACCAUUUAUUAGGAAUUUAUCCGAUUAACUAAGUACUGCCAACUGUGGAGAAUUCAGCCGGAGGCAGCAAGAAGCCAACCAAGGACCACAGAAAGGUUUGGUUUUUGUAUUGAAAACCAGAUAUGAGGUGAGUUGAAUUGAAUUGUGUAUUUAGCUUUUACUUCCAAGCCUUACCUCUUUCUAACAUAACUAACACAUGCACAUUCCCUUUCAUAUGGUUGUUUUGAUUAGUAUGUACAUGUAUCUUACAUAUUCUGUUUUGUUUUUAAAAUUAUUUUUGGACUUGAAUAAUCUUGCAUUAGUUUCUAUCUUUGAGAAGGGCAUAGAGGAGUAUAAGACAGACAGACAGUAGCCACCAGCACAUCAAGUAGGAGAGCAUUGCAAGAAUCUAGAUACAGAGUAUCUUCUAAGA